rnacentral:misc_RNA from 1 species
CCAAUUUAUAUGUUAGUUUGCCUGUGGCUUCGGUCACUGGCAUUAACUACUAUGUAAACGUUGAACUAGAUCAAUUGGUGUGGAUUGCUUGGGAAUGGACGAAGCGAUGAGCCUCUUCCGGACAGGCAAGCCCCACACUGAUAACCUUUUUCAUAUCAUUUACUCGUAUAUACUACCACAACAACAAAAAACAAAAGCUAUAAUAGGACUUAUUAACGGCUGAGUGGGUAACAUCCUCGGCUUAAACAUAUAACUAUUA